rnacentral:lncRNA from 1 species
AUGAUGAACAAUCCUAAAUUAAAUAGAAAUAUACCAUGGCAUGAUUCGAAUAUUCAUAAUCACAUAAUAAAUAUGCAAAAAGCAUUGGAAAAACAGGAAUUUAUGACAAUGUCAGCGAAUGGAUUUGAUUAUUUUUUAAAAAAUAAAGCAAACAAACUAAAAAAUGAUGAAACAAUUUUUUAUAAUACAUUAGUUGAUUGGUUACAAAAUGAUUAUAUAGGUAAUUUGUUUUUUAAUGAUUUUAUUUUUUUAAAUAAAAAAUUAAUUGCAUGGAAACUUAGUUAUUUUCAAACGAAUAUUGAUGAUUCAGAAAUAUCAUCCAAAUGGUUAAAAACAUGUAAAGAAAUAAUGAAAAUAGAAGAUUAUAAUCUACAAUUAUUAUGUUUCCAUACAAGUGCUUUAUUUAAUGAAACAGAUGAAGCAAUUAUAGAAGUAACAUUAAAAAAUUUGGGUAUUACUAUUGUAACUAUAUUAAUAGUUACAGCAUAUGUGAUUAAAGGAUAUAAUUCUUGUAUUAUUAUAGCAAUUACAAUUUUCUUAAUCGACUUAUGUAUAUUUGGUUUUAUGUGUCUCUGUGGUAUUACGAUGAAUAUUAUAUCCAUGGUUAUUCUGGUUCUUUCAGUGGGUUUCUCUAUUGAUCAUACAUCUCACAUUGUUCAGGCGUUUACUCACAGUAUGGGAAGAACUAGAGAUGAAAAGAUGAAAGAAAGCUUACACCUUAUACUAGGACCAGUAUUACAUAGUGGUUUGUCUACCUGGUGUGUGAUAAGUACUUUAUUCUUUUCGAAUAAAGAUUUUACGGUUAUAUUUUUUCAGACGUUAAGCUUGGUAAUGAUUUAAAAUUAAGAAGAAAAAAGAGCAAAAAAAAUACUGUACAAGCAGUUUCAUACUUUUCAUAUGUACAUGUGUAGUGACAUCAUAUUUGUAUUACAUUUACAAAACCUGAUUAUAUUUGCUUCUUUAUAUGUAUACGCACAUAUAUAUAUAUAUAUAUAUACAUUUACCUACUAUUUUUUUUAUUUUUUUAUUUUAUAACGGUUUUGCAGGUUCUAUUUUUUUCGGUUGCAUUAUCAUCCGUACUUUUACCUGUCAUUCUUUCAAGCUUUGGCCCCUUAUAACCAUAUUAUUUUUUUAUUACAUUUUUUUUUUUUUUCAUUUUUUUUUUUUCAUUUUAAACUAUCCAAUCAUAAAAAGUAAUUAACAAAUAUAAUAUAUUUUAUAUUCAUUUCGAAUUAUUGUUCGCAAAUAUUUUUUGUCCAUUGUGAUUUUAUGUCUGUAUAAUUUUUUUUUUUUUUUUUUUGCAUUUUU